rnacentral:misc_RNA from 1 species
AACGCAUCUUGCGCUUCUUGGUAUUCCGAGGAGCAUGCCUGUUUGAGUGUCAUAAGAAUUUCAACCUAUAUUGAUUCUUUCUUUUGAAAGACUUGAUGAGGCUUGGAAUAUGGAAGUUGCAGGCUUUGUUUUGGUCCGCUCUUCUUAAAUGCAUUAGUGAUGAUCAUUGCUAGAUCAGUUUUGGUAUGAUAACUAUCUAUAUCAUUGCUGAAAUAGUUUUCUUUAUAGAAAGAAAGAUCUCGCUUCAAAUUGUUCUGAUACAUUGCACAAUUUUGUCCUCAAAUCAGGUAGGACUACCCGCUGAACUUAA